UGUUUGAUGUUCUAACGUGGACCCGUGAUCCGGGUUGCGGACAGUGUCUGGUGGGUAGUUUGACUGGGGCGGUCUCCUCCUAAAGAGUAACGGAGGAGCACGAAGGUUGGCUAAUCCUGGUCGGACAUCAGGAGGUUAGUGCAAUGGCAUAAGCCAGCUUGACUGCGAGCGUGACGGCGCGAGCAGGUGCGAAAGCAGGUCAUAGUGAUCCGGUGGUUCUGAAUGGAAGGGCCAUCGCUCAACGGAUAAAAGGUACUCCGGGGAUAACAGGCUGAUACCGCCCAAGAGUUCAUAUCGACGGCGGUGUUUGGCACCUCGAUGUCGGCUCAUCACAUCCUGGGGCUGAAGUAGGUCCCAAGGGUAUGGCUGUUCGCCAUUUAAAGUGGUACGCGAGCUGGGUUUAGAACGUCGUGAGACAGUUCGGUCCCUAUCUGCCGUGGGCGCUGGAGAACUGAGGGGGGCUGCUCCUAGUACGAGAGGACCGGAGUGGACGCAUCACUGGUGUUCGGGUUGUCAUGCCAAUGGCACUGCCCGGUAGCUAAAUGCGGAAGAGAUAAGUGCUGAAAGCAUCUAAGCACGAAACUUGCCCCGAGAUGAGUUCUCCCUGAGACUUAGAGUCUCCUGAAGGAACGUUGAAGACGACGACGUUGAUAGGCCGGGUGUGUAAGCGCAGCGAUGCGUUGAGCUAACCGGUACUAAUGAACCGU
rnacentral:rRNA from 1 species